GAAAUGCGAUAAGUAAUGUGAAUUGCAGAAUUCCGUGAAUCAUCGAAUCUUUGAACGCACAUUGCGCCCUCUGGCAUUCCGGGGGGCAUGCCUGUCCGAGCGUCAUUACGCACCCUCAAGCCCGGCUUGUGUGAUGAGCCCCGGCGUCUCGUUCGCGAGACGGGCCCGAAAGGCAGCGGCGGCGUCGACCCGAUGAGCCCGAGCGUAUGGGGACUUCUGUCACACGUUCGCGGUGCGGACCGGCGCCUGCUUGACUUUUCUGAUUAUCCAGGUUGACCUCGGAUCAGGUAGGGAUACCCGCUGAACUUAAGC
rnacentral:misc_RNA from 1 species